rnacentral:rRNA from 1 species
UGGACUUGCUCCUGAUGUUACGGCGGANGGGUGAGUACACGUGGGUACCUGCCUGUAAGACUGGGAUAACUCCGGGAAACCGGGGCUAAUACCGGAUGGUUGUUUGAACCGCAUGGUUCAGACAUAAAAGGUGGCUUCGGCUACCACUUACAGAUGGACCCGCGGCGCAUUAGCUAGUUGGUGAGGUAACGGCUCACCAAGGCGACGAUGCGUAGCCGACCUGAGAGGGUGAUCGGCCACACUGGGACUGAGACACGGCCCAGACUCCUACGGGAGGCAGCAGUAGGGAAUCUUCCGCAAUGGACGAAAGUCUGACGGAGCAACGCCGCGUGAGUGAUGAAGGUUUUCGGAUCGUAAAGCUCUGUUGUUAGGGAAGAACAAGUGCCGUUCAAAUAGGGCGGCACCUUGACGGUACCUAACCAGAAAGCCACGGCUAACUACGUGCCAGC